AUAUCUGCUCGUACAGCAGCGAGCAAGUAAAAUAAAGAAAAGCUGAAUAUGA
rfam:Fusobacterium nucleatum subsp. vincentii ATCC 49256 Contig0348, whole genome shotgun sequence.